rnacentral:rRNA from 1 species
AACGAACGCUGGCGGCAGGCCUAACACAUGCAAGUCGAACGAAGUCUUCGGACUUAGUGGCGGACGGGUGAGUAACACGUGGGAACGUGCCUUUAGGUUCGGAAUAACUCAGGGAAACUUGUGCUAAUACCGAAUGUGCCCUUCGGGGGAUAGAUUUCUCGCCUUUAGAGAGGCCCGCGUCUGAAUAGCUAGUUGGUGAGGUGAAGGCUCACCAAGGCUACGACCAGUAGCUGGUCUUAGAGUAUGACCAGCCACAUUGGGACUGAGACACGGCCCAAACUCCUACGGGAGGCAGCAGUGGGGAAUCUUGCGCAAUGGUCGAAGGCCUGACGCAGCCAUGCCGCGUGGAUGAUGAAGGUCUUAGGAUUGUAAAAUCCUUUCACCGGUGAAGAUAAUGACUGUAGCCGGAGAAGAAGCCCCGGCUAACUUCGUGCCAGCCGCCGCCGUAAUAC